rnacentral:misc_RNA from 1 species
UCGAGUGUUGCCCCCCUCGUAAAAAAAGGGGGGUACCUCCCGUCCUUUGCUGAGGGCCCCCUCUUUUAUUUUUGGGAGGGAGCUUUUACAGAACCCCCUUCUGCUUCGGCGGGACCAACCACCCUGCCGGAACACCCUCAAAAAUUCUUUUUAAUUGUUCAGUCCGAGAGAAUUUUAAAAAAUGAUACAA